rnacentral:ncRNA from 2 species
UGUGAGUUGGACUGGAAGAAUGUCUAUUACAGAUCCUAAUUGAAGUAGCGAUUAUCCAGGCUUGUAUCCUGGGGGCUGAUGAGGAGUAGGGUUUCUGGACAACUUAAACAGAUCCAGAGUUAGUCGAUCCUAAUCUCAAUAAUGGGAGAAAGGGAGUACAGUUGAUAUUCUGUAACUGACAACAGUUCGCGGCAACGCAUACUAUUUUUCUCCGCCAAUCUUAUACCGUUGGUAGGGAUCUCUUUCCUACAUGACAGUACUAAUACCCAGGGAAACUGGUCAUCAGGCGAACUGCGGCGUUCUGCUGGCAAAACAUAGCUUCGGUUAUGUCAAUGGCUAUUGGAUUGGUCCAUGAAGCGAAAAAUAGUUUACUGUGUCACUCGUACCGAUAACCGCAUCAGGUCUUCUAGGUAAGUAGCCUAUGGCCAUUGAGGCAUGAUAGUUCAGGGAAUUCGGCCAAUUAGAGCUGUAACUUCGGGAUAAAGCUUGGCUCUGAUGAAAAUCAGAACCGAUUGUUACGCGGAGAGCCCAACUGUUUAAUAAAAACGUAGUGUCGCGCUGUGGUAGUAUAGCCAGUGAACGCGACAUGAAUCCUGCUCAGUGCUGUGUCUGUUAAUAUGGUUCAAGCCAACGAAGCACCGGUAAAUAGCUGGGGUAACUAUGACUCUUAUCAAAGUAGCGAAAUACCUCGUCACUUAAUUAGUGACCUGCAUGAACGGAGCUAUGAGGUUCUCACUGUCCCAAACUGUCUCUCAGCGAACCAACUGUAGUGGGAACGGUCACUAGAUAUCCAGCGGGGAAAGAAGACCCUGUAGAGCUUCACUUUGGUCUAGUCUUGUAUAGUUCCUGCGGGGGUGUAGACUAGGUGGGAGAGCAAUCGAUUCUGAAAAACCACUACCCUGUUUGGAAUUAUGCUUACCUAUCACAAGGAAUAGGACUAGAUAGAAAGUUGGCUGGGGCGGCAC